rnacentral:rRNA from 1 species
GACGAACGCUGGCGGCGUGCCUAAUACAUGCAAGUUGAGCGCUGAAGGUUGGUACUUGUACCAACUGGAUGAGCAGCGCACGGGUGAGUAACGCGUGGGGAAUCUGCCUUUGAGCGGGGGACAACAUUUGGAAACGAAUGCUAAUACCGCAUAAAAACUUUAAACACAAGUUUUAAGUUUGAAAGAUGCCAUUGCAUCACUCAAAGAUGAUCCCGCGUUGUAUUAGCUAGUUGGUGAGGUAAAGGCUCACCAAGGCGAUGAUACAUAGCCGACCUGAGAGGGUGAUCGGCCACACUGGGACUGAGACACGGCCCAAACUCCUACGGGAGGCAGCAGUAGGGAAUCUUCGGCAAGGGACGAAAGUCUGACCGAGCAACGCCGCGUGAGGGAAGAAGGUUGUCGGAUCGUAAAACUCUGUUGGUAGAGAAGAACGUUGGUGAGAGUGGAAAGCUCAUCAAGUGACGGUAACUACCCAGAAAGGGACGGCUAACUACGUG